CCGUGCCCUGUGGCAGCCGCCUGGGGACAGCCCGGUGAGGGGUGAGCACCCCACGCCAAGGAGGGGUGCACGCCUACAUAUGGCUGCCCAGCAAAGAACAGAAUAGAAUCACGGAACGUCCUUUCAGGGAGCAAUAAGGUGUCCCCUGAGCCUCCUCU